UAGAUGAAUUGAGAGGGUAUGGUGAACGGAAUCAAUCUUGGAAUAUAAGCUCUUAUUUAAAGGAGAGCUCGUGUGCUGACGUGGCAGGCUGUCUCUGUGUGUUUGUAUGUGAGAGAGAGAGAGAGAGAGAGAGAGAGAGAGAGAGAGAGAGGGUCUGGACUUGGCUGCUCAACAUUUUCUUUCUUGGGCAAUGAUGGCAGUAGAGAAAGGCAACCUCAUAUAUUCUUCUCUUCUUAAGGGAAGAAAGAGCCUUUUGUAGCUGUUCUUCUCCUUGGAUUUUCUCCAAAUGACAGGUUCAGGUUAAAAAAUACAGCUGUUGCUUUGGGAGAAUGACACAGAGAGCAAUGUUAAAGGUACAAUGGCUGGUUUACAUUCUGAUGUGAUGAAUUCUAAGUGGGUUUUUAGACGAGCCGUGAUUUCAAGACAACAAAUGAGUUGCCAUAUCUGUGUGACCUUAUGGAGAUUUUCACCCUAUUGGUGCUGUUGGUCGUGAUAUAGAAAGUAGAAUGGCUGUGACAUCAUACUAAAAUAAGCUCUGCAAGAGACUUAUCAUUAGACUGUGAUAGUGAAAAGCUGUCUGGUGAUAUUCAUUGUGAAGCUCUUGAUGCAUAUUUGCAAUUUCAUGAGGAUGAUAUCCAUCUCAACCAGCUCCUGUUGUCCCACAAAUUGGAUUGCAGUGUUCAUCUCCUUGGUGCAGUGUCCCAAUCCACAGGUUGGUAACCCUACGACUCUGUGGCAUACUGAAAAAGGGCACAUAGAAAACAUUGUCGUCAGUGCUCUCACCAAGUGUACUGAGGUUCUAUCCAUGUUAUUGGGGCUACCUGUACUACCACGUCUCUCUCCUUAGUUUUUUUUAUUUUUAUAUUUUUUAAUGACGAGGAAACCCCGUUUCAGGAGUUACCAGCGAUUCUUGUGAGUAUGUUUUGUGUAAAAUUAGGUCGAGCCGUCAUCUCCAGCCUUUAGCAUCCAUUCAUUGAUAGGUAGUAGUUUGGGAACAUCUGUUAUCUGCUGGAGGAUUAAGUUUGAGUCUUCAAUUAGUUUGUUGUGGUCUACUGUAUCAAAUUGGUCUUGCUCUAGCAUUAUCACGAAAACCCGCCGAAUUCUGU